AUUGAACGCUAGCGGGAUGCCUUACACAUGCAAGUCGAACGGAGUGGCGAACGGGUGCGUAAUGUAACGGACCGUGCCCCGUACCGGGGGAUAACUACGCGAAAGCGUAGCUAAUACCGCAUACUCUUGGAGCCGCCGAUAGCGGAUUAGCUAGUUGGUGGGGUAACGGCUCACCAAGGCGACGGGCCGUAGCUGGUUUGAGAGGACGACCAGCCACACUGGGACUGAGACACGGCCCAGACUCCUACGGGAGGCAGCAGUGGGGAAUUGUGGACAAUGGGGGAAACCCUGAUCCAGCCAUCCCGCGUGUGCGAUGAAGGCCUUCGGGUUGUAAAGCACUUUUGGCAGGAAAGCGGUACCUGCAGAAUAAGCACCGGCUAACUACGUGCCAGCAGCCGCGGUAAUUC
rnacentral:rRNA from 1 species